AAAAAAAGAUCGUGUCUUGGUAUUGGUAAAUGUGAAAUUUUCUAUGUUUGGGCGUCAUCAAAGUACGAACGAACUAGUUUUGUCAGGAGGUAGUCAUUAAGGGCAAGUAGUCUGUAACAUAAUUUUACUCCCAGGUGUAUAUGAACAGCCAUUUAUUUCCCUUUUUUAUGUCCCCCACUAUAGUAGUGGGGGACAUAUUGUUUUUGCCCUGUCUGUUGGUUGGUCUGUUGGUUUGCGCCAACUUUAACAUUUGCAAUAACUUUUAGAAUAUUGAAGAUAGCAACUUGAUAUUUGGCAUGCAUAUGUAUCUCAUGGAGCUGCAAAUUUUGAGUUGUGAAAGGUCAAGGUCAUCCUUCAAGGUCAAAGGUCAAAUAUAUGGGUCAAAAUCGCUCAUUUAAUGUACACUUUUGCAGUAUUUCAAUAUUGAAGAUAGCAACUUGAUAUUUGGCAUGCAUGUGUAUCUCAUGGAGCUGCACAUUUUGAGUGGUGAAAGGUCAAGGUCAUCCUUCAAGGUCAAAUAUAUGGGUCAAAAUCGCUCAUGUAAUGUCACUUCUGCACUAUUGAAGCUAGCAAUUUUAUAUUUGAAAUGCAUGUGCAUCUCAUGGAGCUGCACAUUUUGAGUGGUGAACGGUCAAGGUCAAGGUCAUCCUUCAAGUUCAAACGUCAUAUAGGGGGACAUUGUGUUUCACAAACACAUCUUGUUUAAAGCACUCAUAAUAGACACUUCUGUAUUUGCAAGUGGAAUAAUAAAAUGAGCACUGACACUUAACAUUGCCACAAAAACGCAUGUAAAAUAAUAUUUUGAUGGGUUUUUACAAUUAAGUUCCGUGCAAUUAAAAAGACCCAUCAUUCUCAAUUUGAAGAUUUUAUGCUAGGAAUUUGCAAAAAAUGCUGGUGUAUUACUAACUUACAUGUACAAGUUCAAAAUACUGACAUAGCCAAAAUAUAUCAUAUUGGUCCCCUUAAUGUUACAGCAAUUGCUGAGCACAGCGGAAGACUGUUUAAUGAAAGGCUCAGCCGUAUCAAAGUCCAGCAAUGUGCGGGGACGCGGCCUAUCCAUAUCCAUAUAUUACAUCAUUUUAGCUGUCACUAACAAGGGAGAUAACUGUAGAUCUGCACCAGCAGAGAGCACCAGCAUUGAUAUGUAGUUAGCCCAGCAACAGCUCCAGUCCGGCCUGCAGGAGCUCCAGUCCAGGGCAACCCUUCUUCUCUCCUGACCCAAAGCUACUCCCCUAGACCUCUGGCCUAAAGGUUCAGCAGUGUUUGACAAUUCCGUUCUGCAGGAAAUUCUGAGCACAUCGAGAUAUCAUGCGCUGUUCUCAACUACCGCUAUGUCCGUGUCGAGUUUCCCACACUCGCAUCUGAGUAGUUUUGUUUAGCUGGAGUGCCCGAGUGGGACGAGUGCUUAAGACACCAGGAGUUAUAGCAGUAGUUUUGGUAACGCUAACAGUCAGUUCUCGAUGUUGGACAUCACGAAGAAUGACCAGUUAAAUAACGUGUUCCAUUUUUUUAUGGGACGAACAGAAAUUCAGCAAAGAAUUUGAGAAAAUCAAGAAACAAUUCAAGCCAUAAAUUCAACAGUGUUACCUUGCCAAGGGGAAUACUUUUGAUGUUGAUAGUGCGGGCAACAGUAGCUGAGCGGACUUUAACGGUUUGUCCUUUCAGGGGAAAAAGUGUCCUAAGAGAAUGCGCUUUUGACGCUAAUGCUGACAAAGGCAGUAAUGACUAGGUUGUGAACAUACAGAACACGAUACAUCAAUGGGGUGUGUUCUUCUGGCGCGAAAUCCGCGAAAUAUUGGAAGCACUCUGCUAAAAGCGAACACGUGCGUUUUGUUACGAGAAGUUGAAACUCCGAGCCCAAAGGGCAUCGUAUUGAUUCGAGGCUAAAGAAGGCCUUGAAAUAUAACAGCAUUUUUGUUGUAUGAUCCAGUGCGCCAUUCGACGCUCAACCGAAGUUAAUCAGAACUCAAACUCAAUCCUUAACAAUAUCAGUGAGGCCAGCGUGUCAUCUCAGCUUGUUGAGCUUCAGCAAACAUGAGCCAACCAGACAAACAUUAUUGUACAAUCCCGACCCCCUUUUGCAAAAAUAUUACAACUCUCUCAAGAAAUUCAGCACGAAAUCCUCUUGUGUCAGCCUUACAUGCUUCCUAUCAAGAUAUUUUCCCAUGUUUGCUUCAUCAACACUUCCAACAGCGGAUCCUUGGUAAUUUAGACUUCCGUUCCAGCGUGGAUGGGGCUUAGCAAUAAAUUGAUGCUGGGCAACGGCAAAUUGUUCGGGACGAGUCGCUCGAACGGAAACGAUCUGACCCAACAGAUAGCUUAUAGUGAUGUGUCCAUUAAUGUCACUGACCUUGAUAUGUUGCUUUUAAAUGAUGCGAACCUUACACCAGAAGAACAGUCUGCGAGCAAUUAAGGCCAUUUAACAACCGUUGUUGUCUGGAAUUCACGGCUUUGGGUUGACGAAUUUGGCGUCAGGACUUGCUCUAUCUCUGUCUACGGCAGCAGCAGCAGAAAUAACAAAAAAACAGAUUGGUAACCAGCUGUACAACAGGCUCUCUUGCCAGCUGGGCCCAGACACCCAGGGACACUUCCUUCGCAUGGGUGGUGGUGGGUGGCUCUCGGCGAAGGACUUUUUGGCAGUUCAACGUGUCCUACUCGCAGAGUGCAGCCAAUCUAAACAUGGGGCUCCACAUUUUCCUGGUCAAGAUUACCUUAUCCAAAUAGUAGAUUGAAGCCUUAUCCUCAAAAGUUCAGGUCCAAAGAAAGAUGGUGACCAACUGCAACUCAGCCACUUCAUCUCAAUAGGACAACAUGCCAGUGAACAAGGCACCCUUCCUAAACCCUCGCCGACUGCGCUAAACGGGAACCUUAAUAUACAUGAGAUUCCAGGCGGAAUGUAAAAUCUGUACCACUCUGAUCUCCAGUAGCAGCCCCAGCCGUGGGAGGCCGAUUCAUGAUGCACCUAUGGCCUUAAUUAUCUCUGAACAUCCCAACCUCACAUGACCUGUAGGGCGGGAUGUAUAUAAAUGAUCAUUAAAUCCCACAACAAACCAAGGAGAGGUUAUAUUGGAGUCAAUUUUAUUGGUUCAUGUUCAGUGUCAAGCAGUAUCCUAGCAAUCAAGCCAAGUCAGCGCAGCAGCAACAACAGAUGCAGCAGCAGUUGUACGCAAUACAUCAACAACACUGGAAAACCGGAUAACAAAGCGUUGAUUUUGUUCUGGAUGCAUUAGCAGUCACAGUACAUGAACCGACAGUAGUCAUCUUCUCGAGAUUCUGGCCUCUGAACCAUCAGUCUAUGAACAUAAUGCAGAGCAAUCUAGGGACGCCAAUUGACGAAAUCAAACUGACCAAUCAGCAACAAAGCCUGUUGCAGCAGUUGUUACCAUAUUGACCCCAGUCAAAUCAUGGAAGCUUAGACAUAAAUACUGUUUAAGAUGUGCCAGUCUCUACAGACCUCGUGGUCUGUUAAGCACUUACUCUGACAGGUGUCAUCUUUGGAUUUUGUGACGGGUGGAAAAUGAAUAACCUUGUUCAGAUUGAAAUGGCAGAAUGAAAAAGCACAAUUCACGCGAAAAGCCAUAUAUUAAUUUGACCAGCCAUGGUUUGUUGGAAGAAAAACAAUCUGUCAUGUAUUAUGGAAACUUUGAUGCUGUCAGUCAUUAACAAUUGAUGAGAUAUGUUAAAUGUUUUUAAGUAUAAUGAGAUUAAGGUAACUUGAUAAAGGCGUGUAUGUUAAGUAAUACUUUAAGCCCACAUAUUGCACGUCUAUAUAAUUACUUUGUUUGUAUUACGACACUUGCAUCUGAUAACGUUAUAUGCAUGGAAAAUAAAUUUUACUUCAGACAUUCUUUUAUACAUUGAGCUUGUGAUAAUUCAAAGCUGUUUAAAUGAUGCUGGUAACUUGGACGCAAUCACAAAAUAUGUAUUGGAUUCGGUUCAUGUAACUUGUAAUGCUUAUAACUUGGACGCAAUCACAAAAUAUGUAUUGGAUUCUGUUCAUGUAAUAAGCAUGUUUCAGUUUUCUGUUUUUACAUGCAAUAUAGAAAUGCUAGCUAAAAUAACUGUGCAGAAAGGUUGAGAGUUUGAGGCUUCCUAUUUGAUCUGUCUGUCUUUUUCUAUACAAUAAUCUUAUUAAGUUUGCUCAUUUGGGUCCGUAUUUUAUCAAGAAUCUUGUUAAGUAUGGCAGUAUUUGAAAUGAAUAUAAAUUGAAUGUAGACAACAUUAUUUAAUCUUUCAAUUGUCAGUUCUGUAUUUACUUCUUUAACUUUAUUGAUUUGAAUGGAGAUUGUUUGUUAAAUUAUAAGAUAAUUACUUGUUCUUUAUUUGGAAUGCUUUAAUUGUUUUGAAACUGAGUAUUUAAAAAUAAAUUUAUUAAAUAAUUAUGAUAAGGUUCAUGAAUAAAAGCCAAAGUCGUGAUUGUUAUUGUCUAUUUUUUGUUGUUAUAUACAUUAUUUACAUGCUCAUGAAUGUUGACAAUUGUGUUCGGACAUAAUAUAUGUUUUAUGUCUUACAUUUGUGUAUAUACACAUUUUGAAGACCGGAUUUUCAUGCUCUCAACUCAUUUACCGGUAGUAACUUUACCAAAAAUAAAUGUUUAUCACUGUAUAAUGGUAAAUUUUGCAACUGAUAUAUAGAGCAACUUUAAAAUAAUUGUAUGUUCGAUGUAAAUAACUCAUAUAUUGUUUCCAUUUUGAUGAGAUAAACUCUAUGUUUUCACUCCUUUGUACACAUCCUUUGUAAACGGUACAUCUUGUAGAUUUUUGGUAACGCAAACAAUUUAGCCCCUGUUAAACAUUUAUACAGGAUAACAGAUUCUGAAAUUUAGCAAUAGGAACAGGUUGUUAGAUGCAAUGCUUUUUAGUUUUCAAAGUUUACCAAGUAUUUAAAACAUUUGCUUAAUUAUGUUUUACAUUCUAAAGAAUAAUUGAUAUCUCAAAACAUAAAUCACUAAAUUACAAAUCAAGGGAGAGUUAUGUAAUAUGCUUGCAAUUGCUAAGAAGUGCAGUUGUUGUUUUUUUCUUUUCCGGUUAAAGCAAUGUCAUUUGCUUAAAAAAGUUGUCUCCCUUGUAAGAAAAUUAAUGUGUUCACAUCUCAACAUAACAAGUAAAUUCAUACAGUACAUGUAUUUAAAAUUAUUCACAUGAUAUUCACCAAUAAGUCUAAUGGAAUUUGUAGAAUAAAAUAUAACAUGUUAUUAUGACGAUUAUAAGUGAAUGUUUGGCACAAAAUGCCUCUUAAUCUCUAUAUUUACAACUUCAGCAAAUGUCUAAGACCAGAUUUUCCUAAAUGGUGUGGUUGUUGACAUUAAUAUUAAAUUUAGUUCAUGAACCAUAAAUGUUUUGUUGUUGAACAUAUAAAAAAAGCUUUAUGUAUAUUAAUUUUAUGUCAUAUUUCAAACAUAUCAUAUUGAUACGAUUGACAGAAAAUAAACAUUUUGCUUUAAUGUGUAUACAUGAAGUGUAUACAUGAGUAACGAUUGGUACCAUUCAAGCAUGUUAAUAAUGAACUAUAGUUGUAGUUCUAGAUGCAUUUUUAGCUCAUCUAUUUUUUUGGAAAAAAAAAAUGAGCUAUUG